UCGAUCAUAAGCAAUUAAAUAAAAAUCACAUAUUCAUGCUAAGGCUCAAGGCUUCGCCCUAGCAGAAGAAAUUAGUUCCGCAUAUUCAUAAUUGAAAUCAUAGAAAUAUCUAUUAAGAAAAGGAUUGAAAACACCUUCAAGUAGAAAAUCUUCAAAACCCUAGCACUUCUCUCUGUCUCCAAUAUUGCAUAAAAUAAAAGCGUCCCCAAUCUUGCAUAAAAUAAAGCGUUAUCUAAAACUGUAGACGGCCAAGCAAUAUAUCUGCUAAGCCACCACAAAAACCCUAGCAAACUAAAAUUAAUAAAAACCCUAAAUAAAAAUAGUAAAAUUCGUCUAAAAUCUGAACAGCCACGUUUUGGCCCAAAAGCUGCUCCAAAACUGGCCCAAUAUAGCUGGAUUUGAUGUUUGGAAUAUUCUGAACACUUUUCCAGAAGGCCACGAACCCAUCCGAGGUCAUCUUGGGCUCCAAAAACGUCAUUUAAGCCCAAAAACGUCACUUUCCAGCACUGCGCACUGCUUCUUUAUUUCAUCGCCAGAAAAUAACUGCUUGGUGGAAAAAUCCCAAAUUUUGAUACGAUCAAGCUAAUUGACUCACGAACGUCCUCCAAUUGGAAUUACUCCAAAAUUCGUCCAUUUGGUCCUGUUUUGCUCUAGAGGA
rnacentral:lncRNA from 1 species